AUUGAACGCUGGCGGCAUGCUUUACACAUGCCAGUCGAACGGUAACAGGCCGCAAGGUUCUGACGAGUGGCGAACGGGCGAGUAAUGCAUCGGAACGUGCCCAGUCGUGGGGGUUAACUACUCGAAAGAGUAGCUAAUACCGCAUACGAUCUAUGGAUGAAAGCGGGGGACCGUAAGGCCUCGCGCGGUUGGAGCGGCCGAUGUCAGAUUAGGUAGUUGGUGGGGUAAAGGCUCACCAAGCCAACGACCGGUAGCUGGUCUGAGAGGACGACCAGCCACACUGGGACUGAGACACGGCCCAGACUCCUGCGGGAGGCAGCAGUGGGGAAUUUUAGACAAUGGGCGCAAGCCUGAUCCAGCAAUGCCGCGUGCAGGAAGAAGGCCUUCGGGUUGUAAACUGCUUUUGUACGGAACGAAACGGCUCUGGUUAAUACCCGGGGCUAAUGACGGUACCGUAAGAAUAAGCACCGGCUAACUACGUG
rnacentral:rRNA from 1 species